CACCUAAUCUACCUUAUGAAUGAUUGAAUAUAUGAAGUGAUAGAAUCACAUGAGUUAUGAUGAUAUCCAUGUCUAAUUCUAGAAUUCUAGAUGUGAUGAUUGAAGGAAAGACUUGAACCUCGUGGAGGUGAAGUAAGAGAUUUUGUAUGUUCUAUGAAGUCUAUGUAUAUGCUUUAAGAACACGUUGAGAGUGAAGUGUCUAUGAUUAUUAUGUUGUUGUUGUGUUGUUGAAAGGAUAUUCUCAUAUAGACACCUAUGUAUGAAUAUGAUAUUAUAUGGAAGGUUCUCUCACAUAGAAUGAUUCUAGGUUGAAAGGCUUGCUCAACUAAAAUGAAUCUAAAUCCAAGGACUAUGAAAUGUGAUGAGGCUUGAGGUGAUUCCCCAAAGACCUUCAUAUGAGAGGGAUUUGAGUUUAUUUCCUAUAUUCCUAAAUAACUAAACAUGAGGUGAUUACCCAUGCCAUAAGAUGAGAAGUGUGAGGUGACUACCCUUAAUAUAUGACUUCUAAAGCAAGGCAACAGGUGAAUACCCAUUAGCCUUAAAAGUGAUAUGGAGGCAAAUACCUAUAUCAUAAUAUGAUGGUCAUGGAGGCGAAUACCUAUGAUCCUUAUAAAGUAAUGUGGAGGCCAAUACCUACAUUAUACUAUAUUAGUACAUGGAGGUGAAUACCUAUGAUUCCUUAAAUAAGGCAAGCGGUGAAUCCCCUUUGUCUUGUAAAUAAACGUAAAAAUAGUAUGAAUUAUGCAUUGUGUUGAUUGUAGCUUGAAAGGUCUUCCCGAAUACAUAUGAUUCCUUAAAUAAGGCAAGCGGUGAAUCCCCUUUGUCUUGUAAAUAAACGUAAAAAUAGUAUGAAUUAUGCAUUGUGUUGAUUGUAGCUUGAAAGGUCUUCCAUGAGAUGGGUGACUAGAGGUGAAAUCCCUUGUCCAUGAAAGAUAAACUAAGGAUGAGAUCAAAAGGUGAUAAAUACGUAUGAUGGCCUAAUGUGGUACUUAGCAUAGGUGAGAUUAUGGGGUCUUAUCCAUGCAUUGCACAAGUAUAUUUUAAGGUUACUUAAGAAGUGGUCCUCUUAUGUUAUAAAGAUCUAAGUAUUGACUAUGCUUAUGAAUAUGAUGUAUCUCUUGUGCUUAUAGCUUAUGUCUUAUGUUGACUAAUGCUUAUAUUAUGUCUAUGUUGGUGAUUAUGCCUAUGACUAUGUUGUUAUGCUCUUGAUGAUGUUAUGGUAGCUAUCAUAUUUAGUACAUUUUGUACUAACGCAUACUUUUUCCUACAUAAUUAUCAAAUGUAGGGUUCGGUGAUAUUGAGUUCAAUCCCUGUGGCUAGGUUCCUAGUAGAGCAAAGAGUGAACACUUAGUGAGUCCUCAUAGCAUCGAGGAUUUGAUCACCUUUCCUUUAUGGCUUUUAUUUUUUAUGUUAGAAUUAUUGUAUUGAUUGCGUCCCAAAGAUUUUCAUGUAUUAGAUGAUUUGAGACAAAAGUAUAAUAGACUUCCGCUCGUUUUUAAAAGACUUUGAUAUUAUGGAAAAAUGUUUUAAAUUUCCUCAUCAUUUCUAUUGCUUUAUGUUAUGAUAUGCUAAGGGGUUUGUAUGAGCCUCUCAGGGUCUUGUACGCCUUGUUACAUCUAGGGGGUACCCAUGGGUCGUGACAUUAUUAAACUCUUAGUAUGUUUUAUACAUUCAGACUAGUUGGGUAUUCCCCACUUUCAGUUAUCCAUGUUUUAGAUUCCGCAUAGUAGAUGUUUUAUUCAGUGAUUCUCAGUAUGCUUGAUAUAUGCCAGACACAGGGUUAGCUUGGGGAACUCGUGAUCUUAGGUCCUGUGUUACAUCAAGGGGGUAGCCUCGGGGCGUGAUCUAGGUCCUGUGUUACAUCAAAGGGGUAGCCUCGGGGCGUGAUAGUAUGAAAGAAGUGAGAUAGUUUCUAAAUGUCGCAGCCUCUUAAUUAUAUAUGUGGCGCGCUUCACACCGAUAACUAUGACUCUAAAGACACGGCUUCAUAGAUACCCUAGGACUCUUGAAAUAUGUGCUCUGAAACCAAGUUUGUCACCUCCGAUCCUACACCGUGGAUGUGACCGACACUCGCGAACCAUUGUUGGCCCCAAGGGAACCCUUAGCCUGGCUCAACACUCAGUGGAAGACUUACUCAACAUUAAAAGAACUCAAAAGUAACUUUACUCAACUGUCUCAAAAAGGUAAACUCGGAAUAUUUUGGAAAUAAAACAUUUACUAGCCAAAGAGGCAACUCAAGUCUAGAACAUUGACAUCUGAAAAUGAAGCCUCUAAUAUUAUGAGGUAUGUCGGGAAAAGACCCCUGAUCAUCCUAACAAAACUGAAAUAAAUGAAAACAAAUAAGGGAUCCUUCGAAAGAAAGGAGGCUCACCAAACAACUCUGGAACUGCAACUGGUAUCAACGAAUCGCCUGUUGAUGACCCUGAUCUCAUGUAUCUGCAUCAUGAAACGAUGCAGGACAAAUGGCAUUAGUACAUUAAAUGUACGAUCAUGUAAGGGGAAUACUGAACAUAACAUAACAUCUUGAACUUAUAAAGAAAGAAACUUACUUACCUCGACUCUUCUCAACUGAACCUCAACUCGUGGAUACUCAACUCAAAGCAGUAUAAAAACAGCAAUAAAGAUGCAGUUUAUAUAAAGCACUUAAAAUAGUAGAUAACAAUAUAGAACUCCUCAACUAAGUGGAUCCACUAAGCUAUGCUUAAAAAUCAAUAAGGAAUCAUCUAAAAAGUAUGACCCUCUCUACCCACAUUGGCUACAUGGUUUAUGAGGACUUUGAGUUAUCUGAACUCGUCCCUAUAUCGGUUCUCAAUAAUACUCCCAAAAUAUAACUUAGCUCAUAUGUUAAAAAAUAUAUCCUCAUCCUCAACUUUGAGAUUAUUACUCAAAAGAUUUCUCUUAAAAGAGAUAGUACUUAAAACACCGCAUGAACUCCUUUGGAAAUCGAUGUUUCCCUCAUUUUAAAUGUAAAAACAUUUACUCAUGUGAAUACUUAGUUCCGAUAUAUUCAUUUUGAAAAAAAUGAAACUCAACUCUUCUCAUCCUCAAGUACUCAAGUCUUAAAACAAGUUUUAAAAGCUUGUAAAAGACUUCUCAAAAAGACUCGAAAGAACUCUCAAGACUUUACUCUCAACUCUACCUUGAAAUUGAAUUAUGGAUUCAAGGGUUAUGAUUCAUGUUAUGAAUGAUCUCUCGAUGUUUAGAUGUAGUUUAGAGUAGUUAGAAUCAAUAGGGAGUAAAGGUACACUUUAAAAGGACUUAAACGAAACUAACGAAAGAAAAAGGGUGGGGAUAGGUGACCCUAGAGCUCUGCUGGCGCGGGGCGCCAGCCCCUGAACUUCAGAGGCUCCUUUUUGACGCACUGCUGGGGCGCGCNNNNNNNNNNNNNNNNNNNNNNNNNNNNNNNNNNNNNNNNNNNNNNNNNNNNNNNNNNNNNNNAAGAACACUCAUCAAGAACUUAAAUCUUUCAAUCUUUAUGGAUGAAUUCGAAUAUGUAAAUCAUGAUUGGCAUGUGGGUGAAUGAACCCAACACUAUGAAAACUUACAUACCUCAAUUUGGCAAAACAAGUCCUCGAUUCGCAAGAACCUUGAUCGUUCUUCCUUUUCUUCUCUUUUCCUCUUCUUGAACUCCUCUCAAAACCCUAAGCAUAUUUGGGAUAAUGAAAACUGACCCAAAUCAAAUUUGACCCCAAAAGUAUUACUAAAUUUGUUUAAAGCUGAUGAGGUAAGGAAAAGACCAAAAUACCCGUCAUUAAUUCGGAUAACUUUCCUUAACUGGACAGGUUAACUUCAAACGGACAUAUCUCUUCAUCCGAACUCGAAACUUAGCAAACUCGGUGGAGUUGGAAAGAGGAUUAAAAGACAUUUAAUUUAACAUCUUAUGGGCCACCUAACUCUUCUUAUAUUGAAAUUUAUGGUCAUUUGAAGUUGACCCAAAACCCACAACUUAAGCAUAACUUGUAAAAUUCUCAAUUUAGCUAUUUCCAAUUUAGCGCUUUCUAAAAUUAACUCUUUCUAAGGCGGGAUGUUACAAUAUUUAUGUGUUGGUUCCUCUUAUUUCUCCUGUUAAUUCUGAUAAAUUGUUUAUUCUUGUUUAGUUUCUAUCUUUAUACCUACUAUAUAACGUUCUGAGUCACAGGGUUGUUAUGGCUCUGUGAGCUUUAUCAUUGAUCUAAGGACUGUCCCCGACGUGGGAUAAUUGCAUCUAAUCUCCACCUAGCUAGGCUAGUGGGAGUGAUAGCAACCCCAACUAGAGGUGGUGCCCAGGGUCAAGAACAGUGAGGCGGUUAUCAGGAAACACAAGGUGGACCCUGGGGAGGCAAGUCUAGUGAUAGGACUANNNNNNNNNNNNNNNNNNNNNNNNNNNNNNNNNNNNNNNNNNNNNNNNNNNNNNNNNNNNNNNNNNNNNNNNNNNNNNNNNNNNNNNNNNNNNNNNNNNNUGAUCUUCAAGUUGAUGAGUUUGAACCUAACUGAUGAGGAUAUAUGUGAGAGAAAUAUUGGAAGUUGUACGUCUUUAAUAAUACUCUAUUAUUUAGGCAUGGAACAUAAUAUAUCUACGUAUAAUACAUUUUUUUAAUCAUUUAUAUAGGUUGGGGGGUAAGUUAAGGUAGGGGUGGAGUAAAUAAAAAGCAUCACUAUAAAAUGGGGAUAUUGAAUAGAAAAAAGUAUUAUCAAAUCAUCAUCAUAAUCAUGUCUUCAAAAAAGUGUAUUGUUUUCCUCAUUAUUCUGCUUUCCAUCAUCACUACCAGUCCUCUAGCCCAUGCUCAAUUACCCAUUCUUGGUCCCAUUUUUGGUCCCAUUCCCAUUGUUGGUCCUAUUCUUGGUCCCAUUCUUGGUCCCAUUGUUGGCCAACCCAUUAGACCACCGAUUGUACCACCGGUUGCCCAAGUACCACCGGUUGGUCAAGUACCACCCAUUGUUGGACAAGUACCACCCAUUGUACCACCCAGUGUUGGCCAAUUGGCACCCCUUCUUAACCAACUAUUACCAUCCCUUCUUAACCAACUAUUACCACCCAUUGUUGGAAGAUUAUUACCACCCAUUCUUAACGAAGUAUUACCAGGCAUUGUUAGCCAGCUAAUACCACCCAUUGUUGGUCAAGUACCAUCUAUUGUGCCACCCAUUGGUCAAGUACCACCCAUUGUACCACCCGUUGGUCAAGUACCACCCAUUCUACCACCCGUUGGUCAAGUACCACCCAUUGUACCACCCGUUGGUCAAGUACCACCCAUUCUACCACCCGUUGGUCAAGUACCACCCAUUGUACCACCCGUUGGUCAAGUACCACCCAUUCUACCACCCGUUGGUCAAGUACCACCCAUUGUACCACCCGUUGGUCAAGUACCACCCAUUCUACCACCCGUUGGUCAAGUACCACCCAUUGUACCACCCGUUGGUCAAGUACCACCCAUUCUACCACCCGUUGGUCAAGUACCACCCAUUGUACCACCCGUUGGUCAAGUACCACCCAUUCUACCACCCGUUGGUCAAGUACCACCCAUUGUACCACCCGUUGGUCAAGUACCACCCAUUCUACCACCCGUUGGUCAAGUACCACCCAUUGUACCACCCGUUGGUCAAGUACCACCCAUUCUACCACCCGUUGGUCAAGUACCACCCAUUGUACCACCCGUUGUUGGCCAACCAGCUAAUAUAACUAUACGGGGUGUUGUGUCUUGCUCCACAUCGGGAAAUGCCCCAGGCCCCGGAAUUGGUGGAGUAAAUGUCG
rnacentral:lncRNA from 1 species